UACGUAGGGACCGAGCGUUGUCCGGAAUCAUUGGGCGUAAAGAGCGUGUAGGCGGCCACUUAAGUCCUGCGUGAAAUCUUGCGGCUCAACCGCAAGCGGUCGUGGGAAACUGGGUGGCUAGAGUGCGGGAGAGGAGAGUGGAAUUCCUGGUGUAGAGGUGAAAUUCGUAGAUAUCGGGAGGAACACCAGUGGCGAAGGCGGCGCCUGGGCCAAUAUUGACGCUGAGGUGGCGAAAGCGU
rnacentral:rRNA from 1 species